CUACGGGGCGCUCCAGGCGCGAAACCUUUACACUGCACGAAAGUGUGAUAAGGGGACUCUAAGUGCUUAUGCUUUGCAUAGGCUUUUGCCAAAAGUAAAAACUUUGGCGAAUAAGUGGUGGGUAAGACGGGUGCCAGCCGCCGCGGUAACACCUGCGCCACGAGUGGGGACCAUAAUUAUUGGGCCUAAAGCGUCCGUAGCCGACUUAGUAAAUCUUCUGUGAAAUUGUUCUGCUUAACAGAACAACGUGCAGGAGAGACUGCUAAGAUUGGAACUGGGAGGAGUCAGAAGUAUUUCAUGGGGAGCGGUAAAAUGCUAUAAUCCUUGAAAGACUACCUGUGGCGAAAGCGUCUGACUAGCACAGAUUCGACGGUGAGGGACGAAAGCCAGGGGAGCAAUCCGGAUUAGAUACCCGUGUAGUC
rnacentral:rRNA from 1 species